GGCAAAUUUCCCAAAUUAGAUUGGGAAUGCGUAAUUGUUGUUGUAUCACAAAGACUCUUGUAUUUAUCUAUUUCCUUUUCUGCUGAAAUUGCUGCAUAGAUUUCAAAGCUGCAGCAACAUGGGAAGUUGAUGGAACAGGAGCAACAACUGGAGUUCCUUUCUCCAUGUACCUUCUUUCUGGUAGAAUUCUUAACCAAUUUGAUUUCAGUUUUUUUAGUAUAU
rnacentral:misc_RNA from 1 species